UACGAAGGGGGCUAGCGUUGCUCGGAAUGACUGGGCGUAAAGGGCGCGUAGGCGGCACAGACAGUCAGAAGUGAAAUUCCUGGGCUCAACCUGGGGACUGCUUUUGAUACGUCUGAGCUAGAGUGGAGAAGAGGGUUGUGGAAUUUCCAGUGUAGAGGUGAAAUUCGUAGAUAUUGGAAAGAACACCGGUGGCGAAGGCGGCAACCUGGUCUUCUACUGACGCUGAGGCGCGAAAGCCAGGGGAGCGAAUGGG
rnacentral:rRNA from 1 species